UACGGGGGGGGCAAGCGUUGUUCGGAAUUACUGGGCGUAAAGGGCUCGUAGGCGGCCAACUAAGUCAAACGUGAAAUCCCCAGGCUCAACCUGGGAACUGCGUCUGAUACUGGUUGGCUUGAAUCCGGGAGAGGGAUGCAGAAUUCCAGGUGUAGCGGUGAAAUGCGUAGAUAUCUGGAGGAAUACCGGUGGCGAAGGCGGCAUCCUGGACCGGCAUUGACGCUGAGGAGCGAAAGCCAGGGGAGCAAACGGG
rnacentral:rRNA from 1 species